AAGGAUUUAAGUUAAACCCCAAACUCUCAACCUUCAAAGUUGGAAAUGCCUUCUAGUAAGCCUUA
rnacentral:tRNA from 1 species